rnacentral:lncRNA from 1 species
AUGCUUAAAAGAGACAACGUUCUGACUGUGGAGCUUUCUUCAGGUGUGAAGGCUUCACAGCUGAAACGGUGGUUGUUUUCUUUGCCUUUUCAACCCGGAAUAAACCUUUCCUUGUUCCUUUGCAGCCUACGCAUGCUGACUCGUACGUAUCGGGUGGAGAAGAAGGGCACUCCAGGCUGCUCUGAAAUGAAUGGUACAUUCAAACGUGCACACAGCAGCUCAGCAAUGUCUCUGGGCAGGUUUCCUAUUUGCAGAUCCUUCACUCUUGCGAUUUAGGCACGGCAGCGAUGGACAGCCGUAAUCUGGGAAGAGCUCAGCCCAGUGGGGAUCCUGGAUUGUCUUUGAAUGGUCACCUGCUUCAGACCUGGGAAAACGAGCAGACAUCCCACAGUAUGAC